CUGAUCCUGAGCGACCUGCUUGUUUC
rnacentral:piRNA from 1 species